UACGUAGGGGGCAAGCGUUGUCCGGAUUUAUUGGGCGUAAAGAGCGUGUAGGCGGCCAUGUAGGUCCGUUGUGAAAACUCGAGGCUCAACCUCGAGACGCCGAUGGAAACCAUGUGGCUAGAGUCCGGAAGAGGAGAGUGGAAUUCCUGGUGUAGCGGUGAAAUGCGUAGAGAUGUGGAGGAACACCAGUGGCGAAGGCGGCUUUCUGGUCUGUAACUGACGCUGAGGCGCGAAAGCGUGGGGAGCAAACAGG
rnacentral:rRNA from 1 species